GACGAACGCUGGCGGCGCUGCUUAACACAUGCAAGUCGAACGGAAAGGCCCUGCUUUUGUGGGGUGCUCGAGUGGCGAACGGGUGAGUAACACGUGAGUAACCUGCCCUUGACUUUGGGAUAACUUCAGGAAACUGGGGCUAAUACCGGAUAGGAGCUCCUGCUGCAUGGUGGGGGUUGGAAAGUUUCGGCGGUUGGGGAUGGACUCGCGGCUUAUCAGCUUGUUGGUGGGGUAGUGGCUUACCAAGGCUUUGACGGGUAGCCGGCCUGAGAGGGUGACCGGCCACAUUGGGACUGAGAUACGGCCCAGACUCCUACGGGAGGCAGCAGUGGGGAAUAUUGCACAAUGGGCGGAAGCCUGAUGCAGCAACGCCGCGUGCGGGAUGACGGCCUUCGGGUUGUAAACCGCUUUCGCCUGUGACGAAGCGUGAGUGACGGUAAUGGGUAAAGAAGCACCGGCUAACUACGUGCCAGCAGCCGCGGUGAUACGUAGGGUGCGAGCGUUGUCCGGAUUUAUUGGGCGUAAAGGGCUCGUAGGUGGUUGAUCGCGUCGGAAGUGUAAUCUUGGGGCUUAACCCUGAGCGUGCUUUCGAUACGGGUUGACUUGAGGAAGGUAGGGGAGAAUGGAAUUCCUGGUGGAGCGGUGGAAUGCGCAGAUAUCAGGAGGAACACCAGUGGCGAAGGCGGUUCUCUGGGCCUUUCCUGACGCUGAGGAGCGAAAGCGUGGGGAGCGAACAGGCUUAGAUACCCUGGUAGUCCACGCUGUAAACGGUGGGUACUAGGUGUGGGGUCCAUUCCACGGGUUCCGUGCCGUAGCUAACGCUUUAAGUACCCCGCCUGGGGAGUACGGCCGCAAGGCUAAAACUCAAAGGAAUUGACGGGGCCCCGCACAAGCGGCGGAGCAUGCGGAUUAAUUCGAUGCAACGCGUAGAACCUUACCUGGGUUUGACAUGGAUCGGGAGUGCUCAGAGAUGGGUGUGCCUCUUUUGGGGUCGGUUCACAGGUGGUGCAUGGCUGUCGUCAGCUCGUGUCGUGAGAUGUUGGGUUAAGUCCCGCAACGAGCGCAACCCUUGUUCACUGUUGCCAGCACGUUAUGGUGGGGACUCAGUGGAGACCGCCGGGGUCAACUCGGAGGAAGGUGGGGAUGACGUCAAGUCAUCAUGCCCCUUAUGUCCAGGGCUUCACGCAUGCUACAAUGGCUGGUACAGAGAGUGGCGAGCCUGUGAGGGUGAGCGAAUCUCGGAAAGUCGGUCUCAGUUCGGAUUGGGGUCCGCAACUCGACCUCAUGAAGUCGGAGUCGCUAGUAAUCGCAGAUCAGCAACGCUGUGGUGAAUACGUUCCCGGGGCU
rnacentral:rRNA from 1 species